rnacentral:lncRNA from 1 species
AAUCCAAAGGCAAAUGGAAUUUGGGAGAUGAGGACAAACGGGAACGCACGAUUCGAAAGGGAGAUUAAGAAAGAGGGAUGGAUGGAUCGGACAGCAGUCAAUUAACUAGCAGACGCGUCUCGAAUCUCAAUCCAUCCAAGCAAAGAAUUCCAUUCCGUCCAGACCAAACGUGGCCAUAUUCACCCGCUUGGAUUUAUCCCAUUACUCUGUGCACGGGUUUAUUCCUCAUGGUAAUAUUAUAUCGACACUUCUUUAGUAGUACUACCCUCCAAAGCAGGAUUUGGAUAAUAGCAGUAACCUGAUGAUCAACGGCAUUUUGGUUUGAAGAUGGACUUCUAUGGAAAAAAGAUAUUGUAACCGUGAGGCCCCUUCCAAAACUAUUUUUUUAAUUUUUUUUAACGUUUCAUUUCGGUUGUGAAACAGGGAGCAACACCAAAGUAAAACUAGAAUGAAACAUUAUUUAAAAUUUCAAAUGUUACUAAAUUCCGAUUCCAAUAAAAUUUCACUCUGGUUUCACUAAAUUUCAGCUAUUUCUUUCCAAUUUUAUGAAGGGACGGUUUUCUGUUUUACGGCAAUGUAGAGACAGGAGCACUACAUAUGCUCACAGUUUUACUUGACAUGCCACCUUUAGAGUCCAUUUUACUAGAAAAAUAGGAACUUAUUGAGGAAGCCAACAUGCC